GGUAGCGUGGCCGAGUAGUCUAAGGCGCUGGUUCUAGGCACCUGUCAUUUCGAUGACGUGGGUUGCAAUCCCACCGUUGCCA